GAACACACUAUCCUGAGUGAGGUAACCCAGACCCCAAAAGAUGAAUAUGGAUUUCUAAAUUAGGUUCCAUACCCACGGCAUCGUCAAAGCCACCAACUGCAGCAACCACAUUGACGAUGUUAGGAGGAGCAAGGAUGUGGUUGCUGCCCAAAUUGGAAAAACCAUGACGGGAGUAUUCGCUGCAUAGCUGGUGCCGUGAGCAGGACGUGAAGCAAGAACCCACAUAUGAGCAUUCUGAGGGUCCAACGUGUCACCUGGGAUACAAACAAGAGCAGAUUUCUGAUGACGAAGACUGAAGAUUGUCACCUCUUUCACUAACGCUGGUGGUGUUAACAGUAGUUUCCUCGGAUGACUGACGAUUGUCACCUGUUUCACUAACAUGAGAAGUUGAUGUGGCAUCGGCAUGGGCAGGAGGCUGGGGCACGAUGUCAUGCAUAUUAAGUGGAGGAAGGAAAUCUUCUCCCUUCUUUGUUUCAACCUUUAAGGAAAUUUUGAGAUGUUAGAUUUCAUUGAAAAUCUCACUUAUUUUUGUUCAUUUUAGAACUUAUCUGUUAAUGUCAGGGUCUUGAUUUAGAGUCCCCAAAUGUUUGUUUUCUCAGGCUAAUUUUAUCACAUAACCGCUGAUAUCCUGAAACUUUUGCUUCCAUUGGUUUAGUCAAAGGCCCAGAGUUUGAGAAUCUUAAAAGGGGAUCUAUUCAGCUUUAUGCCUUCUUUUCUACUGUUCUUUGCUACCUCUCUAUAAAAGAAAGAUGGAAAAAAAGACACAAUGUGUCCACUCCUGUCUUUAUGACAAGGAUUUUACAUUCCAUCCAGAUUAAGAGAAUGUGACAAUCAGGGGCUUUGGAAACAAAAAGAACCUCGCUCUUCUGCACCACACUACUGCUUUCCCCAUGGCUUUCACAAUUGCCCAUUAGGUUCCCGGGAUAACAGAAUAGUGAGGGUGACUUUUGAAAUGCAUGAAUAAAGUGUGCCACUACCCACAGCACAUGGAAACUAUGGGGCUGAAGGAAGGGUUCUGGGAGAUGCCAUCCAAACUCUUACUCCUUAGCUAUGACUGUUUUUAUAUAUGGCUGAUGAAUGCAAUGGCCUGUUCCAGCAUCUCUGUGAUGGCUUGAAUGAGAACAGACUCAUGGGCUCAUAUAUUUGAAUGUUGGUUUCCAGGCAGUGGAACUAUUUGGGGGGAAGGAUAGGUGGUGUGGCCUUGGUGGAGGAGUUGUGUGGUCUUGGGUUUCAGAAGACUGGUGCCAUUUCUAGUGAGCUCUUGGUUCCUUGUAUAGAUUUAAAUGUAACUCUCAGCUGCUGCUACAGCACCAUGCCUGCCGGCCUCAAUCACGGUGGUGAUGAAAUUGUAUGUAUCCCAUUGGAACCAUGUGCCUUACUAGACCUGGAUGGAGGUGGGUGGUCCUUGGACUUCCCACAGGGCAGGGAACCCUGAUUGCUCUUCGGACAGACGAGAGAGGGAGGCUUG